rnacentral:rRNA from 1 species
AGCGGCGGAUGGGUGAGUAACACGUGGGGAACCUGCCCCUAAGUCUGGGAUACCAUUUGGAAACAGGUGCUAAUACCGGAUAAUAAAGCAGAUCGCAUGAUCAGCUUUUGAAAGGCGGCGUAAGCUGUCGCUAAGGGAUGGCCCCGCGGUGCAUUAGCUAGUUGGUAAGGUAACGGCUUACCAAGGCGACGAUGCAUAGCCGAGUUGAGAGACUGAUCGGCCACAUUGGGACUGAGACACGGCCCAAACUCCUACGGGAGGCAGCAGUAGGGAAUCUUCCACAAUGGACGCAAGUCUGAUGGAGCAACGCCGCGUGAGUGAAGAAGGUUUUCGGAUCGUAAAGCUCUGUUGUUGGUGAAGAAGGAUAGAGGUAGUAACUGGCCUUUAUUUGACGGUAAUCAACCAGAAAGUCACGGCUAACUACGUGCCAGCAGCCGCGGUAAUACGUAGGUGGCAAGCGUUGUCCGGAUUUAUUGGGCGUAAAGCGAGCGCAGGCGGAAAAAUAAGUCUAAUGUGAAAGCCCUCGGCUUAACCGAGGAACUGCAUCGGAAACUGUUUUUCUUGAGUGCAGAAGAGGAGAGUGGAACUCCAUGUGUAGCGGUGGAAUGCGUAGAUAUAUGGAAGAACACCAGUGGCGAAAGGCGGCUCUCUGGUCUGCAACUGACGCUGAGGCUCGAAGCAUGGGUAGCGAACAGGAUUAGAUACCCUGGUAGUCCAUGCCGUAACGAUGAGUGCUAAGUGU